rnacentral:rRNA from 1 species
UGGGGAAUCUUCCGCAAUGGGCGAAAGCCUGACGGAGCAACGCCGCGUGGGUGAAGAAGGCCUUCGGGUUGUAAAGCCCUGUCUUAUGGGACGAGGAGGAGACGGUACCAUAGGAGGAAGCCACGGCUAACUACGUGCCAGCAGCCGCGGUAAUACGUAGGUGGCGAGCGUUGUCCGGAAUUAUUGGGCGUAAAGGGCGCGUAGGCGGUUAUAUAAGUCAGCUGUGAAAACUCUGGGCUCAACCGAGAGAUUGCAGUUGAAACUGUAUGACUUGAGUGCAGGAGAGGGCAGUGGAAUUCCUAGUGUAGCGGUGAAAUGCGUAGAUAUUAGGAGGAACACCAGUGGCGAAGGCGGCUGUCUGGCCUGUAACUGACGCUGAGGCGCGAAAGCGUGGGGAGCAAACAGG